rnacentral:tRNA from 30 species
CGCGGGGUAGAGCAGUUGGUAGCUCGUCGGGCUCAUAACCCGGAGGCCGCAGGUUCAAGUCCUGUCCCCGCAACCA